rnacentral:misc_RNA from 1 species
UUUCCGUAGGUGAACCUGCGGAAGGAUCAUUAACAGUUCUGGCUGUGAAAAGCUUUGCCCGCUGCCUCUCCGGCUCGGGCUCAGUCCAAACCUCUUGUGAAACUCAAAAAAACGUUCGCUUCGGCAGCCGGCGCCCUCCGCGGGUGCCCGUAAGCCUGCCGGCAGCACAAUUUAUCAAACCUGUCAUUUUAUAAUUUGUCUGAACCAUUCUAAUUCUGAAUGAAAAUUAAAACUUUCAACAACGGAUCUCUUGGUUCUC